rnacentral:rRNA from 1 species
GAUGAACGCUGGCGGCGUGCCUAAUACAUGCAAGUCGAGCGAACAGACGAGGAGCUUGCUCCUCUGACGUUAGCGGCGGACGGGUGAGUAACACGUGGAUAACCUACCUAUAAGACUGGGAUAACUUCGGGAAACCGGAGCUAAUACCGGAUAAUAUCUUGAACCGCAUGGUUCAAUAGUGAAAGACGGUUUUGCUGUCACUUAUAGAUGGAUCCGCGCUGCAUUAGCUAGUUGGUAAGGUAACGGCUUACCAAGGCAACGAUGCGUAGCCGACCUGAGAGGGUGAUAGGCCACACUGGAGCUGAGACACGGUCCAGAGUACUACGGGAGGCAGCAGUAGGGAAUCUUACGCAAUGGGCGAAAGCUUGACGGAGCAACGCCGCGUGAGUGAUGAAGGUCUUCGGAUCGUAAAACUCUGUUAUGAGGGAAGAACAGAUGUGUAAGUAACUGUGCACGUCUUGACGGUACCUAAUCAGAAAGCCACGGCUAACUACGUG